GCAAGUCGAGCGCGAAUAGGGGCAACCCUUAGUAGAGCGGCGCACGGGUGCGUAACACGUGGAUAAUCUGCCUGGAUGCUCGGGAUAACCAGUCGAAAGAUUGGCUAAUACCGGAUAAGCCCACGGUUUCUUCGGAGACUGAGGGAAAAGGUGGCCUCUGUAUACAAGCUAUCACAACCAGAUGAGUCCGCGGCCCAUCAGCUAGUUGGCGGGGUAAUGGCCCACCAAGGCGACGACGGGUAGCUGGUCUGAGAGGACGAUCAGCCACACUGGAACUGAGACACGGUCCAGACUCCUACGGGAGGCAGCAGUGGGGAAUUUUGCGCAAUGGGCGAAAGCCUGACGCAGCAACGCCGCGUGUGUGAUGAAGGUCUUCGGAUUGUAAAGCACUUUCGACCGGGACGAAAACCCGUAGCCCAACACGCUACGGCUUGACGGUACCGGGAGAAGAAGCACCGGCUAACUCUGUGCCAGCAGCCGCGGUAAUACAGAGGGUGCAAGCGUUGUUCGGAAUUAUUGGGCGUAAAGCGCGUGUAGGCGGCGUGACAAGUCGGGUGUGAAAGCCCUCAGCUCAACUGAGGAAGUGCGCCCGAAACUGUCGUGCUUGAGUGCCGGAGAGGGUGGCGGAAUUCCCCAAGUAGAGGUGAAAUUCGUAGAUAUGGGGAGGAACACCGGUGGCGA
rnacentral:rRNA from 1 species